rnacentral:rRNA from 1 species
AACGAACGCUGGCGGCAUGCCUAACACAUGCAAGUCGAACGAGACCUUCGGGUCUGGUGGCGCACGGGUGCGUAACGCCUUGAAACCUGCGCUUCGUUUCGGAAUAACUCCCCGAAAGGGGAGCUAAUUCCGGAUAAUCUCCUCGGACCAAAGAUUUAUCGCCUUUGGAUGGUCCCGCGUUGGGUUAGCUAGUUGGUAGGGUAAAAGCCUACCAAGGCUACGAUCCAUAGCUGAUCUGAGAGGAGGAUCAGGCACACUGGGACUGAGACACGGCCCAGACUCGUACGGGAGGCAGCGGUGGGGAAUAUGGGACAAUGGGCGAGAGUCUGAGACGGCAAUGUCGCGUGUGUGAUGAAGGCCUUAGGGUGGUAAAGCUCUUUGACCCGGGAUGAUAAUGACAGUACCGGGAGAAUAAGCACCGGCUAACUCCGUG